CAGCCGCCACGGUAAUACGUAGGUCCCGAGCGUUGUCCGGAUUUAUUGGGCGUAAAGCGAGCGCAGGCGGUUAGAUAAGUCUGGAGUUAAAGGCUGUGGCUUAACCAUAGUAUGCUUUGGAAACUGUUUAACUUGAGUGCAGAAGGGGAGAGUGGAAUUCCAUGUGUAGCGGUGAAAUGCGUAGAUAUAUGGAAGAACACCGGUGGCGAAAGCGGCUCUCUGGUCUGUAACUGACGCUGAGGCUCGAAAGCGUGGGGAGCGAACAGGAUUAGAUACCCCUGUAGUCCCUGUCUCUUAUACA
rnacentral:rRNA from 1 species